AACGAACGCUGGCGGCAUGCCUAACACAUGCAAGUCGAACGAGAUCUUCGGGUCUAGUGGCGCACGGGUGCGUAACGCGUGGGAAUCUGCCCUUUGGUUCGGAAUAACAGUUGGAAACGACUGCUAAUACCGGAUGAUGACGAAAGUCCAGAGAUUUAACGCCAGAGGAUGGGCCCGCGUAGGAUUAGCUAGUUGGUGUGGUAAAGGCGCACCAAGGCGACGAUCCUUAGCUGGUCUGAGAGGAUGAUCAGCCACACUGGGACUGAGACACGGCCCAGACUCCUACGGGAGGCAGCAGUGGGGAAUAUUGGACAAUGGGCGAAAGCCUGAUCCAGCAAUGCCGCGUGAGUGAUGAAGGCCUUAGGGUUGUAAAGCUCUUUUACCCGGGAUGAUAAUGACAGUACCGGGAGAAUAAGCUCCGGCUAACUCCGUGCCAGCCGCCGCAGUAA
rnacentral:rRNA from 1 species